rnacentral:rRNA from 1 species
GUGCAGCAGGCGCGAAACCUCCGCAAUGCGGGCAACCGCGACGGGGGACCCCCAGUGCCGUGGCAUCGCCACGGCUUUUCCGGAGUGUAAAAAGCUCCGGGAAUAAGGGCUGGGCAAGGCCGGUGGCAGCCGCCGCGGUAAUACCGGCGGCCCGAGUGGUGGCCGCUAUUAUUGGGCCUAAAGCGUCCGUAGCCGGGCCUGUAAGUCCCUGGCGAAAUCCCACGGCUCAACCGUGGGGCUUGCUGGGGAUACUGCAGGCCUUGGGACCGGGAGAGGCCGGGGGUACCCCUGGGGGUAGGGGUGAAAUCCUAUAAUCCCAGGGGGACCGCCAGUGGCGAAGGCGCCCGGCUGGAACGGUCCGACGGUGAGGGACGAAGGCCAGGGGAGCGAACCGGAUUAGA